GGGGGGUGGGGGUCACCACAAGCCCAUUCACCGGCUGCCUCUGGCCAGGCGCUCCGGCUCCCCUUCCUCCCCGCUCUCCUUCCUUCCUUCCGCCCUCCUAAUGUGCUAGGCGGCAGCAGCUGCUCCUCUGGCGGCGGGGGAGGGACCCCGGGGGCAGCUCGGAGCGCGGCUGCUGCUCGGGCGGCGGAGGGAGAAAGGAAGGGCGGCAGUGAGUGAGUGAGAGGCGGAUCGCAGGGAGGGAGAGAGAUCGAGGGAGGGAGGCGGAGGGAUAUCCUUGCCGGACCUCUCCGCGGCGGCACCGCGCUGCCCAGCGAUUGGCUACGGCCGGGGCCACGCGGAACCCCCGAUUGGCCGGACGGCUAGCGUUGAAGGGCCGCCACGCGCCCAUUGGCCUGCGGGCUUCAAGGUCCGGUUGGCUGGGCGGGCAGCGGGAUGGGGCGUGCUUAUUGGUCGAGGGGAGGGGCUCUGGGGUGGGGCAGGUAAGAGCGCGCCGCUGAUUGGGCUGGCCCGGUAAAGGCCUUCGGGCUCAGCCCGGCUGUGCGCGGGGAGAAGGGUGGGCGGAAGGUAAAGGCUCCAGGCGCGUCGGAUUGGCUGGGAUCCUGGACGUUGAUAGGACGGGGCGCCGGGAGAACUGAAGCGAGGAGUUCGGGGUCGCCGCCGCGCGGAAAGGCGGGAGGCGCCCAGGCUCUUAGGAGUCUGGCGCGGAGCACGACGGGACGCCUCCGGGGUGGGGCGGAGCUGCGCGCGAGUGGCUCGGACUGCGCGCUACGGAGAGCCGUCACUCGCCGCGGUGUACGGAAAGCGAGCCUUUCGCGGGCCUCGGAGGGGGCGGGGACGGGAACCGUUAAAGUCCUGCGCCGCGCCCACAGGAAGCUGCCUUCAUGGUGAGGUCGGCUUGCUGCCGCGCUCUGUGCGGAACCGGACCAUGAGAACCACGUGGUUCACCUUCCAACGUGCGGAUUUGCAAACUGAAGCCCAGAGAGAGAGUGGAGCCUGUCCAAGGUCACACAGCCCAUUCCAGACUCGAGCAGAGCUGGCUUCAGGCGCCCCUAAUUGCCCUUGGAGACCCCGUCGGGGCCCUGGACUGUUAACAAAGUUUCGCGGAGGCGCGUCCUUAGACCACUUAGCAGUUCCCAUAAAGCUUUGAUGUCCAGACUUCGUUUACAAGAUCUGUGUAGUAUUAUAUAAAGAACGUGUGCAUUGACGAGCUGUAGCGACACACCUGCCAUCUCAGUAUCCCGAAGCCUGAACUACAGUCUGAGAUCUUGUUUCAAAAACAAAAAACAAAUACAACAAACAAGAUAAAAAUACGUUGCAUAUAGUUGCUUAACAUUCCCCUCCCCUCAUUUGGAUACCCAGCUGCAAGUCAUGGGGGGAUUAGGAGCAUAUGGGUCAAAAUAGCAUGUAAAUUGUAUUGUUUUUAAGGUGUAAAGAAAUUGCCCUACACUAGCCACACUUUGGAAACUUGGGAUUUAGUGUUCUCUGAAACACUUAAAGUCAUAGCCUCGUGGGGUUUUUUAAUUGUGUGUAUUUUCUGCCUGUAAUGUAUGUUUCCAAUGGCUUCAUGUAUAGAUAUGUUCUGAAUACUUCCACAUCUUAUCCUGAUUUUAAGAAAGAUUUUUUUGUUUACUAUGCAAGCAUAA
rnacentral:lncRNA from 1 species